GAGCUCUUGCCGGCGCUCUGGCCGCCCACCACGGCGAUCUGUGGCAGCUCCAGCAGACAGCUCUGUCCCAGAGCCGAGAAAGCGUCCUGCAGACGGUUCACCAGAGGGAUCAGUUCUUCCAUCUCCCGGUUCCCCAUCUUGCCUGUGCGGCCAACUGCCCCACAGGUCCCUGCGCGACUCAGCGACCUGGCAGGCAGCCCGGGCCUCGCAGCACUUGUCCGGUUUGUUGAUGCGCGGGGCUCACACCGCUGAGUCCCGGCACCGUCGUCCGAUCCCUGCCACCCGCUGCUAGGCUCCUGACAGCUCACAGCCCACAGCGCGCUUGCGCAGCCGAGAAAGGCGAAGGAGGCGUGGCCUGGGCCUGAGACGGUCACGCCCACACCACGCCCCUCGCCUGCUCCUCCCUAGAGUUUCCAAGCCUACUGGCUUAGGGGGGCGCAUAUGCACUGCCUCCCAGCUUGGCCAGAUGCCACCGCCCAGGCUAAAGGGCAGAGUACUGCACUUGGUCAAGGAAUAGCCAAAAUCACACCCAACAGGGACUCUGUCCCUUUUGAAGGAGCUACACCACACAGACGAAGCCCAGCGGAAAGCACUACCGUCUACCAUCAGUUAACAGCACGUUGACAUCAGCUUCACCAUGCACCACUGCCAUCGUUAUUAUUCUGCAGUAAUGUGGUGGCAAGAGAAUCUUAACCCACACAGAAAUAGCCAAAUCCUUCAGAGGUAAAGAUGUCUACUCAUAAGUUAAUCCAGGCAAAACACAUAGGAAACAGGAAGAUGAAAUGGAAAAGCAGAUGGGACAAUGCCACAGAAAACCAGCGUCUACCUUUCCAAUCUACAUGACAGCUGAGGAGGGGAGUCUGCUCAGUGUCCAGUUCCUUGAACAUAUCAUGCAGUCACCUCAACCCUGCCCCAAUCCCAGUGACAGAUGCUUCUCGGGCUAGUAAGAAGGUAUGGACUCCCUACCCCAUGUUCCUCAUCUACUGCCAGACAUCAAAAUAACUGUGAAGGAACCCCUCCAGGCUCCUGCUACAAUGGCUUCUGUUUAUUUGAGAUCUGACAGAUGGAUACUCACCAGAAGUCUCCUCAAAACAUGGUCAAAUUGACACGUAUGCAGAGCAGAGAACAGUGGUGGGCAAGCUUAAAGCACCGAGAAAGCAAGGUCAGGAAGAACAGUCUGUGUCUCACAUGUGUGAUUUAGCACACUGUCCAUGUUUCCUUCUGCCAAGCAGGUCUCCCUGUGUUGAUCUGGAAUCACCGAGGACUACUUUGAAAGGAAAGCUGUUCCGUGCUUUAAAUCUCACUUGUUGAGUUAUAUCUUCACAAUUUACAAUUGAAUUGUUGAAUUGACCUCCUUAUAAAUACUAUAUAUGGAGGGGGGGGUCUGUAUCUGUGACUGUUUGAAGCUAUAAAAUUAUAUUAAAAUUUAUACUAAAAUUUA